rnacentral:rRNA from 1 species
AGAGUUUGAUUCUGGCUCAGAACGAACGCUGGCGGCGUGGAUAAGACAUGCAAGUCGAACGGGAGAAUUGCUAGCUUGCUAAUAAUUCUCUAGUGGCGCACGGGUGAGUAACACGUGAGUAACCUGCCUCUUAGUGGGGGAUAGCCCUGGGAAACCGGGAUUAAUACCGCAUACGAUUGAAAGAUCAAAGCAGCAAUGCGCUAGGAGAUGGGCUCGCGGCCUAUUAGUUAGUUGGUGAGGUAACGGCUCACCAAGGCGAUGACGGGUAGCCGGUCUGAGAGGAUGUCCGGCCACACUGGAACUGAGACACGGUCCAGACACCUACGGGUGGCAGCAGUCGAGAAUCAUUCACAAUGGGGGCAACCCUGAUGGUGCGACGCCGCGUGGGGGAAUGAAGGUCUUCGGAUUGUAAACCCCUGUCAUGUGGGAGCAAAUUAAAAAGAUAGUACCACAAGAGGAAGAGACGGCUAACUCUGUGCCAGCAGCCGCGGUAAUACAGAGGUCUCAAGCGUUGUUCGGAAUCACUGGGCGUAAAGCGUGCGUAGGCUGUUUCGUAAGUCGUGUGUGAAAGGCAGGGGCUCAACCCCUGGAUUGCACAUGAUACUGCGAGACUAGAGUAAUGGAGGGGGAACCGGAAUUCUCGGUGUAGCAGUGAAAUGCGUAGAUAUCGAGAGGAACACUCGUGGCGAAGGCGGGUUCCUGGACAUUAACUGACGCUGAGGCACGAAGGCCAGGGGAGCGAAAGGGAUUAGAUACCCCUGUAGUCCUGGCAGUAAACGGUGCACGCUUGGUGUGCGGGGAAUCGACCCCCUGCGUGCCGGAGCUAACGCGUUAAGCGUGCCGCCUGGGGAGUACGGUCGCAAGAUUAAAACUCAAAGGAAUUGACGGGGACCCGCACAAGCAGCGGAGCAUGUGGUUUAAUUCGAAGCAACGCGAAGAACCUUACCAGGUCUUGACAU